rnacentral:rRNA from 1 species
AGCGAACGCUGGCGGCAGGCCUAACACAUGCAAGUCGAACGAACUCUUCGGAGUUAGUGGCGGACGGGUGAGUAACACGUGGGAACGUGCCUUUUGGUUCGGAAUAACUCAGGGAAACUUGUGCUAAUACCGCAUGUGCCCUUCGGGGGAAAGAUUUAUCGCCAUUAGAGCGGCCCGCGUCUGAUUAGCUAGUUGGUGAGGUAACGGCUCACCAAGGCGACGAUCAGUAGCUGGUCUGUGAGGAUGACCAGCCACACUGGGACUGAGACACGGCCCAGACUCCUACGGGAGGAAGCAGGGGGGAAUCUUGCGCAAUGGGCGAAAGCCUGACGCAGCCAUGCCGCGUGAAUGAUGAAGGUCUUAGGAUUGUAAAAUUCUUUCGCCGGGGACGAUAAUGACGGUAACCGGAGAAGAAGCCCCGGCUGACUUCGUG